GGAUUUGUAGACUGAAUUUUAGAUGACAAUUUAAUUGGAUUAAGGAAUACCUACACACCUGGUAAAGCAUUAUUUUGGAUUACAUUUGAAGGACCUGUCGCACAAAGUCAUUAGACCACAGAGAAAGUCUGAGACUUCCAGGUAUCCUGUCUGCUAACUUUCUGCUACUUCCAUUCAGCCAGGGCUAAUGAUGUCCCUACUAAGCUUCCUUCAAGUACAUUACUCUUUACUUCACACAUGAAGGAGAUGACCUCCAAAUGAAUUUAAUGGUGAUAUAAGAAAAUCCAUGUC